rnacentral:rRNA from 1 species
UAGGGAAUAUUGGUCAAUGGGCGAAAGCCUGAACCAGCAACGCCGCGUGUGUGAUGAAGGCCUUCGGGUCGUAAAGCACUUUUCUGGGAGAUGAGAAAGGACAGUAUCCCAGGAAUAAGUCUCGGCUAACUACGUGCCAGCAGCCGCGGUAAAACGUGGAGGCAAGCGUUAUCCGGAUUCACUGGGCUAAAGCGCGUGCAGGUGGCGCGGUAAGUUAGGCGUGAAAUCUCCCGGCUCAACUGGGAGAGGUCGUCUAAUACUACCGUGCUUGAGAGCAGAAGAGGAAGAUGGAAUUCCCGGUGUAGUGGUGAAAUGCGUAGAUAUCGGGAGGAACACCAGUGGCGAAGGCGAUCUCUGGUCUGUUUCUGACACUCAGACGCGACAGCUAGGGUAGUAAACGGGAUUAGAGACCCCGGUAAUCCUAGCCGUAAACGAUGUGAACUUGGCGUUGGUGGGUUAAACUCCAUCAGUGCCG